rnacentral:rRNA from 1 species
CAGUCGUACCAGCGGGAAAUCAACCUUUCGAGCGGAGUUUUGAAGAGUGUCAAAACCUUUGAGAUUUCAAAGUGCUCGCUCUUUUGGUGUACUUUCUCGUGGGUAGGUUAACAUCGAUUUUGAUCAUCAUAAAAAGAUUGGAGGAAUGUAGCUUCGAUCUUGUAUUGAAGUGUUAUAGCCUUUGGUAAAUGUGAUGAUUAGGAUCGAGGAUUGCAACGAAUACCCUUUUGGGCUAUCCGCCUGAUCUCUGAUACGUGGCCUUGGUAUCGAAAGCGUGCUUACGGUAUUGAGGUAUUACGGUCAAAAGGUUAGAACGUGAUUACA